GGAAAGCCGCUCCUGCCCAUGUGCUGCCCGAGCAGCGCGCUGCACGUCUCAGCAAACAAUUGGCUUAGGGAAGACCCCAUCUGUAAGGAAAUGGCAGAUUAAAUUGAGGUGAUGUUUUGACCGACAACUUGCAUCAUCCCUUACCACUGAUUAUCACGGCUGCCAUAAUAACCACUGAUUAUGCCAACCAAGACCAAGACCAGUAGAGAUGAAAACCUCUGGAGAGGCUGCCCAUCCUGUGUUAGAUAAUGUGGAGUGGAGAUUCUAUUUCACAUUAAAAUCUGCAUGAAGGAACAUUGGGUGGUUGUUAUUACCCAAUUAGGUAGAAUAGAAAGGUGUGGCCUUGUGUAUGAGGCUUAAAGCUCAAGGCAGGAGACAGAACCAACUGCAUGGCUUGCUGCCAUGUCUCAGUCUUGGAAUGUGUAGCAAAAUCAAGAGAGUGCCUCUGAACAUGCGCUAAGCAGUUUGCUUCUGAUAGGCUUCUGUUUCUCUGAGAUUACAUCUGGGAGUACACCUUUCAGGCAAGAUGACCCAAUCUCUCCUCUCAUAAAAUAAAGAGCUGAACUUAUUUUUUUACUUCAUCAAAAGGAAUUGUAGUCACCAGACUUGAAAAAUGUUCUGGUACUGAACAAUACACUCUAUAAACUGCUUAGGCCAGCAUUAGUGUGAAGCUGGGCUUAGUCCCACUGUUGGACUGUAGCACUUGGUCAAUAGUUUUAAUGAAAAGGUAAGAUACAGCCAGUAAUUAUUUUUAUUUGGACGAGAAAGAGAAAACUACAUGAAAAGAGCAUGGUAAUCUCUUAAUACUUGCAUCUGUGAUUUUAAAAAUGUUUGUGUCCAUGGAUUUUAGAAUCUCUAAAACAUCAAACACAACGGGCAAUAAGAAAAAUCUGAUUCAUUUAUAUGUGAAAUAGAAAUAGUGGUCCCUUUCUCCUUCCAUUCCACUUCCUAAAACUGCACAAAUAGCAGUUGACAAGUGCAUGGCCAUAUUUCAUACUGUGUAGAUUUUCCAAAUGAAAGUACUGACAUUGUUGUUAAAAAUGCCUAGGUUUAAAAAUGGUUAAAAAUACUUAAGUUCCUCCAUAUGGAUGUUUUUAUUUUGUAAUCUCCUGCUUCAUUCACAAAAUGUUAUCAGAGUUCUAGACAAAAAUGUAUUCUAUUUGUAAACUUC